CCUCUAGAGGUAUAUAUAAAAAAUCAGUGCAAACCCAUUAUUUUCUUACGUCUCUUCUCAUAGGUCGGACCACUGUUGACCGAGGCCCACCUUUCGAGAGCCUAGAGCCAGGAGAAGGAGGAGGUUGGUUGGUCCCACAGGGGGUGGCAUCUGAAUCCGAGUGACUCGCCUAGGAUGUGAGCAGCCCCUGCGGAUGGAUGACAUGUUUGGAGAUUUUGCGAAAGCCUUUUCUGUUUGGGAUGGGACUUUCGGCCCAUUCUCACAGACUCAGAUGAGACGGUGAUGGUGGCCCAAUGGAGCAGGUGCUAACUGACUCCCCAGCUCUCA
rnacentral:lncRNA from 1 species